rnacentral:rRNA from 1 species
GCAUAUCCAAUAAGCGGAGGAAAAGAAACCAACAGGGAUUGCCCUAGUUAACGGCGAAGUGAAGCGGCAACAGCUCAAAAUUUGAAAUCUGGCUUCUUUCAGGGUCCGAGUUGUAAUUUGCAGAGGGCGCUUUGGCUUUGGCAGCGGUCCAAGUUCCUUGGAACAGGACGUCACAGAGGGUGAGAAUCCCGUACGUGGUCGCUAGCUAUUGCCGUGUAAAGCCCCUUCGACGAGUCGAGUUGUUUGGGAAUGCAGCUCUAAAUGGGAGGUAAAUUUCUUCUAAAGCUAAAUACUGGCCAGAGACCGAUAGCGCACAAGUAGAGUGAUCGAAAGAUGAAAAGCACUUUGGAAAGAGAGUCAAACAGCACGUGAAAUUGUUGAAAGGGAAGCGCUUGCAGCCAGACUUGCUUGCAGUUGCUCAUCCGGACUUUUGUCCGGUGCACUCUUCUGCAGGCAGGCCAGCAUCAGUUUGGGCGGUGGGAUAAAGGUCUCUGUCACGUACCUCUCUUCGGGGAGGCCUUAUAGGGGAGACGACAUACCACCAGCCUGGACUGAGGUCCGCGCAUUUGCUAGGAUGCUGGCGUAAUGGCUGUAAGCGGCCCGUCUUGAAACACGGACCAAGGAGUCUAACAUCUAUGCGAGUGUUUGGGUGUCAAGCCCGAACGCGUAAUGAAAGUGAACGGAGGUGGGAACCCGCAAGGGUGCACCAUCGACCGAUCCUGAUGUCUUCGGAAGGAUUUGAGUAAGAGCAUGGCUGUUGGGACCCGAAAGAUGGUGAACUAUGCUUGAAUAGGGUGAAGCCAGAGGAAACUCUGGUGGAGGCUCGCAGCGGUUCUGACGUGCAAAUCGAUCGUCAAAUUUGGGCAUAGGGGCGAAAGACUAAUCGAACUAUCUAGUAGCUGGUUCCUGCCGAA